AUUGAACGCUGGCGGCAGGCUUAACACAUGCAAGUCGAGCGGGGUGAUGGUGCUUGCACUAUCACUUAGCGGCGGACGGGUGAGUAAUGCUUAGGAAUCUGCCUAUUAGUGGGGGACAACAUCUCGAAAGGGAUGCUAAUACCGCAUACGUCCUACGGGAGAAAGCAGGGGAUCACUUGUGACCUUGCGCUAAUAGAUGAGCCUAAGUCGGAUUAGCUAGUUGGUGGGGUAAAGGCCUACCAAGGCGACGAUCUGUAGCGGGUCUGAGAGGAUGGUCCGCCACAAUGGGACUGAGACACGGCCCAGACUCCUACGGGGGGCAGCAGUGGGGAAUAUUGGACAACGGGGGGAACCCUGAUCCAGCCAUGCCGCGUGUGUGAAGAAGGCCUUAUGGUUGUAAAGCACUUUAAGCGAGGAGGAGGCUCUUUUGGUUAAUACCCAAGAUGAGUGGACGUUACUCGCAGAAUAAGCACCGGCUAACUCUGUGCCAGCCGCCGCAGUAA
rnacentral:rRNA from 1 species